UCCUGGUUUCCCAGGCAGUUCCACCAGAGUGCUCCCGAAGGAUUGCAACUGGCGGUAGGAGUUGCGCUCGUUAGAGGACUUAACCCAACAUCUCACGACACGAGCUGACGACAGCCAUGCAGCACCUGUGAUCUUGUUUGAACCGAAGUCCAAAAAAGUGUGUUUCCACACUGGUCAAGAACAUGUCAAGCCUAGGUAAGGUUCCUCGCGUAGUGUCGAAUUAAACCACAUGUUCCACCGCUUGUGCGGACCCCCGUCAAUUCCUUUGAGUUUUAAUCUUGCGAUCGUAGUCCCCAGGCGGAUCACUUAACGCGUUAGCUACGACACCGACCCCGCAAGCGGAGCCGACGUCUAGUGAUCAUCGUUUACAGCGUGGACUAC
rnacentral:misc_RNA from 1 species